UUCCUUCUUUGUUUCCAACUUUAACAUUCUAAUCACCAGUAAUUAUCAAUGCAUCUUGAUUGCAUGUUUGAUCAAUUUCAGGCUGCAGAAGUUGUUUAAAAUCUUCAAUUUCUUUAUCUUUGGCAUUAGUGGUUGGUGCAUAAAUUUGAAUAGUCGUAUAAACUAGUCUUCCUUGUAAGUGUAUGGAUUUUAGCCUAUUAGUGACAACAUUGUACUUCAGGCUAGAUCUUGAAAUGUUCUCUUUGAUGAUAUGUAACGUCAUUCUUUUGACUCUAGUGGAAUAUCCAUGUUUGUAAGACUGCUCACAGACUGUUUCACCAGAGAGUUUUCUGGUACUGCAACAUCUACCACUAAUCUCUGUGAUCCCUGUGAAUUGGCAAAAUAAGAAUAGUGCUAUAGAUUUCUUCCAAAUACAGAAAACAUAAGUAUGAAAAUGUUCUUGCUAUUGAUUAUGUUCUUUACCAAUCUGUUUGUAUGGGAUUUUUGGUACUUCACUUGAAAAAUGAGUCCAAGGUACUGUGAUGUGAUUGUUUACUUUGUGUCGCCUUUCUAGCCAUGGUCUUAUAACAUCCACCCUGGUGCUUGGGCAGGACUGUGUGAUAGGGUAAUUGUGGCUCACCAAGGGGAUUGUUUAUUUUCCCUUCAAAGAGAACCAGUUCCAGAGCAAAGAGGAGGAUUCAACUCCCAUCAAGGAAGAACAGCCAAGAGCCGAGCGUAUAUUAUGGACCUGAGAUCCCUGCACUGAGAAGCUCCUAGAAGCAGGAGACUGAGAUAGAGAGAGGAAGCUGUAACCCUGAAGAUGCUUAAAUACAGACCAGAAGAGGAGUUUGGGGCUUGACACCUGACAUCUUAACACCAGUUCCUGUUUCUUGAGGAAGGAAGAGGUAAAAUAAAUCAGCGUUUACUGUUUCCUUCUCCAUCCCCGGAAGUCCUGAUGAAGACCCUCUCAGCUUCAACUUGAACGUGAAUAUGAGCAACUGAUCAUCUGUUCUGCAGUCAGCCCCUGGCCUGAUUCUGACUCAUGAUAUUGACCAAGUGAAGAGUGAUUCAGAGAAAAACAUGGGUAGAGUGUGACCUAAUUUCCAUAAAAACAAAGAAAUGAAUGUACUUACACGUGUCCCGGCAAAAAGAAGUGUGUAAAAGGGUACAUAUGUAUCUUUGGACACUGGACACUUCAGGGGAGCAGGUACAAUAUACUUAUGUGGGGAUGGCUCUUAUUAAAACUUCUAUAUACAAAUCUCUAUUGUUAAAUGUGUUAUAAGAAUGUAAAAGCUUUUAAAGUUUAAUAACAUCAUACGUGUAUGUGUGUGUAUUUGAAACUUUUUUUUUUUUUUUACUAUUUUAUAUAUGUGUUUUUUAGUUAUCUAGUUUUUUUUUUAGUGUGGCUAUAGCAGAGAUACCACAAGUGGAUGGCUUUAACAAACAGAAACUUAUUCUCUCACAGUUUAAGAAGCAACAAGUUUGAAGUCAGGGCACCAGGUCUAGGAGAAAGCUUUCUCUCUUUGUGGCUCUGGGGGAAGGUCCUUGUCAUCUAUCUUCCCCUGGCCUAGGAAAUUCUCAGCGUGUGGACACUGGGUCAAAAAGACGUGCUCCACUCCAGACACUUCUUCCUUGGUGGUAUGAGGUCCCUCUCAUUUCCGCUCACUCUUCUCUUUGUAUCUCAAAAGAGACUGACUCAAGACUCACCCUAAUCCUGUAGAUUGUGUCCUCCCUCAUUAACCUAACUGUCUCUAAUCCCGCCUUAUUAACAUCACAGAGGUUAGAAUUUACAACACAUAAGUAAUUACAUCAGAUCACAAAAUGCAGGACAACCACACAAUACUGGGAAUCAUGGUCUGGCCAGGUGGGCACACAUUUGGGGGGACACUAUUCAAUCCAUAACAAUAGAGAAAACACUGUCUUCAAUGCCAGAUUCAGAGACUUUUAUCCAUCUAUGAAGGGCAAACACAGAAAUUGAACAAAAUUCAGACCAGCGAAUUAUUGCUUGCUCUUGU